AAAGCAUUCCUGGAAAUCUCGGCCCAAAAAAGGACGUUUAGUAAUUCUAAAAGGGACUACAGGAUGAAAAACAAUAGUUUUGGCAGUUAAAGUUUGAGAUUCGAUAAUGCCGUAGAUCCGUUUGGUCAUCAGGUGUAACGAGCCACACCCAUGUCUGGUUAGAGUAGUGUGCUAGGCUCAGACUAGAUAAGAAACGGGGAACAAACUGAUGAAAGAAUGAUCAUACCGAGCGAAUUCACUCAGAACUAACAAGAAUGAUAACAUGCUCCGACUGGAGCGGUUUAGGAACUGCUGGAAGGCUCUAGGGGAAUAAAGAUGGAAUGACUUCUAAUUUUUAGGUCCGUAUGAUUUGAAAUACUUGCACACAAACCACGCGAAAGCGUUCCUGGAAAUCUCAGCCCAAAAAAGGACGUUUAGUAAUUCUAAAAGGGACUACAGGAUGAAAAACAAUAGUUUUGGCAGUUAAAGUUUGAGAUUCGACAGUGCCGUAGAUCCGUUUGGUCAUCAGGUAUUACGAGCCACACCCAUGUCUAGCUAGAAUAGUGUGCUAGGCUCAGGCUAGAGAAGAAACGGGGAACAAACUGAUGAAAGAAUGAUCAAACCGAGGGAAUUCACUCAGAACUAACAAUAAUGAUAACGUGCUCCGACUGGUGCGGUUUAGGAACUGCUGGAAGGCUCUAGGGGAAUAAAGAUGGAAUGACUUCUAAUUUUUAGGUCCGUAUGAUUUGAAAUACUUGCACACAAACCGCGCGAAAGCGUUCCUGGAAAUCUCAGCCCAAAAAAGGACGUUUAGUAAUUUUAAAAGGGACUAUAGGAUGAAAAACAAUAGUUUUGGCAAUUAAAGUUUGAGAUUCGACGGUGUCGUAGAUCCGUUUGGUCAUCAGGUGUUACGAGCCACACCCAUGUCUAGCUAGAAUAGUAUGUCAGGCUCAGGUUAGAGUAGAAACGGGGAACAAACUGAUGAAAGAAUGAUCAUACCAAGGGAAUUCACUCAGAACUAUCAAGAAUGAUAACGUGCUCCGACUGGAGUGAUUUAGGAACUGCUGGAAGGCUCUAGGGGAAUAAAGAUGGAAUGACUUCUAAUUUUUACGUCCGUAUGAUUUGAAAUACUUGCACACAAAUCACGCAAAAGCGUUCCUGGAAAUCUCAGCCUAAAAAAGGACGUUUAGUAAUUCUAAAAGGGACUACAGGAUGAAAAACAAUAGUUUGGGCAGUUAAAAUUUGAGAUUCGACGGUGCCGUAGAUCCGUUUGGUCAUCAGGUGUUACGAGCGACACCCUUGUCUAGCUAGAAUAGUGUGUUAGGCUCAGACUAGAGAAGAAACGGGGAACAAAGUGAUGAAAGAAUGAUCAUACCGAGGGAAUUCACUCAGAACUAACAAGAAUGAUAACGUGCUCCGACUGGAGCGGUUUAGUAACUGCUGGAAGGCUCUAGGGGAAUGAAGAUGGAAUGACUUCUAAUUUUUAGGUCCGUAUGAUUUGAAAUACAUGCACACAAACCCUGAGAAAGCGUUCCUGGAAAUCUCGGUCGAAAAAAGGAUGUUUAAUAAUUCUAAAAGGGACUACCGGAUGAAAAACAAUAGUUUUGGCAGUUAAAGUUUGUGAUUCGAUGGUGCCGUAGAUCUGUUUGGUCAUCAGGUGUUACGAGCCACACCCAUGUCUAUCUAGAAUAGUGUGUUAGGCUCAGGCUAGAGCAGAAACGGGGAACAGACUUAUGAAAGAAUGAUCAUACCGAGGGAAUUCACUCAGAACUAACAAGAAUGAUAACGUGCUCCGACUGGCGCGGUUUAGGAACUGCUGGAAGGCUCUAGGGGAAUAAAGAUGGAAAGACUUCUAAUUUUUAGGUCCGUAUGAUUUGAAAUACUUGCACACAAACCGCACGAAAGCGUUCCUGGAAAUCUCAGCCUAAAAAGGAUGUUUAGUAAUUCUAAAAGGGACUACAAGAUGAAAAAUAAUAGUUUGGGCAGUUAAAAUUUGAGAUUCGACGAUGCCGUAGAUCCGUUUGGUCAUCAGGUGUUAUGAGCCACACCCAUGUCUAGCUAGAAUAGUGUGUUAGGCUCAGGCUAGAGAAGAAACGGGGAACAAACUGAUGAAAGAAUGAUCAUACCGAGGGAAUUCACUCAGAACUAACAAGAAUGAUAACGUGCUCCGACUGGAGCAGUUUAGAAACUGCUGGAAGGCUCUAAUGGAAUAAAGAUGGAAUGCCUUCAAAUUUCUAGGUCCGUAUGAUUUGAAAUACUUGCACACAAACCGCUCGAAAGCGUUCCUGGAAAUCUCAGCCCAAAAAAGGACGUUUAGUAAUUCUAAAAGGGACUACAGGAUGAAAAACAAUAGUUUUGGCAGUUAAAGUUUGAGAUUCGAUGGUGCCGUAGAUCCGUUUGGUCAUCAGGUGUAACGAGCCACACACAUGUCUAGCUAGAGUAGUGUGCUAGGCUCAGACUAGAGAAGAAACGGGGAACAAAGUGAUGAAAGAAUGAUCAUACCGAGGGAAUUCACUCAGAACUUACAAGAAUGAUAACGUGCUCCGACUGGAGCGCUUUAGUAACUGCUGGAAGGCUCUAGGCGAAUAAAGAUGGAAUGACUUCUAAUUUUUAGGUCCGUAUGAUUUGAAAUACUUGCACACAAACCACGCAAAACCGUUCCUAGAAAUCUCGGUCGAAAAAAGGACGUUUAGUAAUUCUAAAAGGGACUACAGGAUGAAAAACAAUAGUUUUGGCAGUUAAAGUUUGAGAUUCGAUGGUGCCGUAGAUCCGUUUGGUCAUCAGGUGUUACGAGCCACACCCAUGUCUAGCUAGAGUAGUGUGCUAGGUUCAGACUAGAGAAGAAACGGGGAACAAAGUGAUUAAAGAAUGAUCAUACCGAGGGAAUUCACUCAGAACUAACAAGAAUGAUAACGUGCUCCGACUGGAGCGGUUUAGGAACUGCUGGAAGGCUCUAGGGGAAUAAAGAUGGAAUGACUUCUAAUUUUUACGUCCGUAUGAUUUGAAAUACAUGCACACAAACCACGCAAAAGCGUUCCUGGAAAUCUCAGCCUAAAAAAGGACGUUUAGUAAUUCUAAAAGGGACUACAGGAUGAAAAAUAAUAGUUUGGGCAGUUAAAAUUUGAGAUUCGACGCUGCCGUAGAUCCGUUUGGUCAUCAGGUCUUACGAGCCACACCCAUGUCUAGCUAGAAUAGUGUGUUAGGCUCAGGCUAGAGAAGAAACGGGGAACAAACUGAUGAAAGAAUGAUCAUACCGAGGGAAUUCACUCAGAACUAACAAGAAUGAUAACGUGCUCCGACUGGAGCAGUUUAGAAACUCCUGGAAGGCUCUAGGGGAAUAAAGAUGGAAUGACUUCAAAGUUUUAGGUCCGUAUGAUUUGAAAUACUUGCACACAAACCGCGUGAAAGCGUUCCUGGAAAUCUCAACCCAAAAAAGGGCGUUUAGUAAUUCUAAAAGGGACUACAGGAUGUAAAACAAUAGUUUUGGCAGUUAAAGUUUGAGAUUCGAUGGUGCCGUAGAUCCGUUUGGUCAUCAGGUGUAACGAGCCACACCCAUGUCUAGCUAGAGUAGUGUGCUAGGCUCAGACUAGAGAAGAAACGGGGAACAAAGUGAUGAAAGAAUGAUCAUACCGAGGGAAUUCACUCAUAACUAACAAGAAUGAUAACGUGCUCUGACUUGAGCGGUUUAGGAACUGCUGGAAGGCUAUAGGGGAAUAAAGAUGGAAUGACUUCAAAUUUUUAGGUCCGUAUGAUCUGAAAUACUUGCACACAAACCGCGAGAAAGCGUUCCUGGAAAUCUCAACCCAAAAAAGGACGUUUAGUAAUUCUAAAAGGGACUACAGGAUGAAAAACAAUAGUUCUGGCAGUUAUUGUUUGAGAUUCGAUAAUCUCGUAGAUCCGUUUGGUCAUCAGGUGUAACGAGCCACACCCAUGUCUAGCUAGAGUAGUGUGCUAGGCUCAGACUAGAGAAGAAACGGGGAACAAACUGAUGAAAGAAUGAUCAUACCGAGGGAAUUCACUUAGAACUAACAAGAAUGAUAACGUGCUCCGACUGGAGCGGUUUAGGAACUGCUGGAAGGCUCUAGGGGAAUAAAGAAGGAACGACUUCUAAUUUUUAGGUCCGUAUGAUUUGAAAUAUGUGCACACAAACCACGAGAAAGCGUUCCUAGAAAUCUCGGCCCAAAAGAGGACGUUUAGUAUUCUAAAAGGGACUACAGAAUGAAAAACAAUAGUUUUGGCAGUUAAAGUUUGAGAUUUGACGGUGCCGUAGAUCUGUUUGGUCAUCAGGGGUUACGAGCCACACCCAUGUCUAGCUAGAAUAGUGUGUUAGGCUCAGGCUAGAAAAGAAACGGGGAACAAAGUGAUGAAAGAAUGAUCAUACCGAGGGAAUUCACUCAGAACUAACAAGAAUGAUAACAUGCUCCGACUGGAGCGGUUUAGGAACUGCUGGAAGGCUCUAGGGGAAUAAAGAUGGAAUGACUUCUAAUUUUUAGGUCCGUAUGAUUUGAAAUACUUGCACACAAACCGCGCGAAAGCGUUCCUGGAAAUCUCAGCCCAAAAAAGGACGUUUAGUAAUUCUAAAAGGGACUACAGGAUGAAAAACAAUAGUUUUGGCAGUUAAAGUAUGAGAUUCAACGGUGCCGUAGAUCCGUUUGGUCAUUAGGUGUUACGAGCCACACCCAUGUCUAGCUAGAAUAGUGUGCUAGGCUCAGGCUAGAGAAGAAACGGGGAACAAACUGAUGAAAGAAUGAUCAAACCGAGGG
rnacentral:lncRNA from 1 species